rnacentral:misc_RNA from 1 species
GUUGCAUGACCAGGCCUAUGUCCUCUUCUACAAACAAGUAUAGGGGGGUGAUGGAAGGAAUUUUGCUUGCACCAUGUAAAAUGUACAAACCUGUUGCAGGAUUAGUGGAUAAAAUUAUCUGGCCAGCUGGGCAGAGCAAGGAACUUGUCUGUCAGGAUUUGAAGGUGCAUUAACUGUCUUGUAUCAAGUCCCAGCGCCAUGUAGAUUGUAGAAAGUAUGCAUGAAGGUUGGAAGUGCAUAAAGUUUUAUAUCAACGGAGUUUUUUUUUUCAGCUUUACAUCUAGGAAUUCAACUGAUCUGUAAUUUUCUAUGAUAAUCGCGAAAAUAUAUGGGAAUUUAUUGCUGUUUGACAUUAGAUAACUUGUUAUUGUGAAAAUCCUUUGGAGAUUAUAGUUAAUAUGAAAGCCAGGAGAUGUGAUAUUUAAGGCUUAGUGGUGAGUUUGUUUAGCGGUCAAUCGCGAUGAUAGGUUGAUGAUUAUAACCAUUCACUCUCUUCCCCUAUGUUGAGUUGAUUUUGAUUUACAUGGGAGGAUUGGGUUUUUGAUAUUUAUUAAUGUAACUCAUACGAGCAAGUGCUGCCAAGUUUUUGAAUCAAACGAAGGCCUAGCUAGUUUUUUGUUGGCCG